rnacentral:tRNA from 1 species
GCCAGUUUAGCUUAAUUGGUAAAGCAACUGACCUGUAAUCAGUAGAGUGAGGGUUCAAGUCCCUUGACUGGCC